GGGGCGGGCGGCCACCGCCGGGGGGAGGGGGUGAGGUCCGGGUCCCACCCUCCCGGGGCGCCUCUUUUGUUUUAAGGCCGCGCCUGCGGUGGCCGCGGGCGCCAGGCUCUCCUGGUCUCCGGCGGGGCCACCCCGGGGUGCGCAUCGCCUGCCGGAGCGCGGGGGGGCGGGAGGCGUCUGGGCUGGUGGCGGAGUCAGCUGUGUGAUGGCAGAAUUUAUCCGUCCUUGGGUGGUUUGAACUCGUUGCAAUCUAUUCAGCGUUUUGUCAAGAUUUAGUAGAACAUUUGCUGCUUUUCUAAGGAGCUGGUGUCUGUUGCUUACAAACAGGAAUGCUAACUGGUAUAAUAUUUAACUUAUAUUGUAAAAAAAAAUUCAGCUCUUUGAUUUUUCUCUUCAUCAAAGACUCUAUGUAUAUCGUCAAAAACGGACCAAAUGAGGCCACACAUUGUCAUCUUGUUUACAAGAUGAAUCCAAUGUACUCACAGAACACCUAAAAUUGCAUUCAUCAUUUCAAGAUGAACAUAAUGUAUUCACAAAAAGAAACCUAAAGAAAACUAAGCAAUUAAAUAUUAUUCUCAUUUACCAACACGACUGGAAAAAUAAAUGAAAACAUUUAAAAUUAUUAGAGACUCAAUUAUCAGGUACUUAAAUAUUAAAACGAUUGCAUCGUAUCUCUCAACAUGGGAAGGAGUACGAGACCCAAGGGUGUAUUCCUAUUAAAAUAUUUUUGGGGACACCUGGGUGGCUCAGUCGGUUAAGCGUCUGACUUU